rnacentral:rRNA from 1 species
GUACCUGGAGAAAAAGCCACGGCUAACUACGUGCCAGCAGCCGCGGUAAUACGGAAGGUCCGGGCGUUAUCCGGAUUUAUUGGGUUUAAAGGGAGCGUAGGCCGCAGGUUAAGCGUGUUGUGAAAUGUAGGUGCUCAACAUCUGCACUGCAGCGCGAACUGGCUUGCUUGAGUACACACAAAGUGGGCGGAAUUCGUGGUGUAGCGGUGAAAUGCUUAGAUAUCACGAAGAACUCCGAUUGCGAAGGCAGCUCACUGGAGCGCAACUGACGCUGAAGCUCGAAAGUGCGGGUAUCGAACAGGAUUAGAUACCCUGGUAGUCCGCACGGUAAACGAUGGAUGCCCGCUGUUGGUCUGAAUAGGUCAGCGGCCAAGCGAAAGCAUUAAGCAUCCCACCUGGGGGAGUACGCCGGCAACGGUGAAACUCAAAGGAAUUGACGGGGGCCCGCACAAGCGGUGGAGUAUGUGGUUUAAUUCGAAGCAACGCGAAGAACCUUACUAGGGCUUGACAUCCCGGUGACCGUCUUAGAGAUAAGAUUUUCCCUUCGGGGACACCGGUGACAGGUGGUGCAUGGUUGUCGUCAGCUCGUGUCGUGAGAUGUUGGGUUAAGUCCCGCAACGAGCGCAACCCCUAUUGUUAGUUGCUACGCAAGAGCACUCUAGCGAGACUGCCGUUGACAAAACGGAGGAAGGCGGGGACGACGUCAAAUCAUCAUGCCCCUUAUGUCCUGGGCCACACACGUACUACAAUGGUGGUUAACAGAGGGAGGCAAAGCCGCGAGGCAGAGCAAACCCCUAAAAGCCAUCCCAGUUCGGAUCGCAGGCUGCAACCCGCCUGCGUGAAGUUGGAAUCGCUAGUAAUCGCGGAUCAGCAUGCCGCGGUGAAUACGUUCCCGGGCCUUGUACUCACCGCCCGUCAA